rnacentral:lncRNA from 1 species
CCAACCAGACCCCUCCAAUGGACAAAUUUUCUUCGGACCGCUCCAGUGGUCGACCUUCCACAGUGUCCUCCAGACUCCUUCAGCGGAUGAACUUUCACAACACCUUCCAAACUUUUCUAUCGAUCAACCUUCUAUAGUGCCUUUCGAAUUUCGCUAUCGGUUGACCUUCUGUCGGAUUUCUCAUGCAACCAGACCUCUCCAGC